CCUACGGGUGGCAGCAGUCGAGAAUCAUUCACAAUGGGGGAAACCCUGAUGGUGCGACGCCGCGUGGGGGAAUGAAGGUCUUCGGAUUGUAAACUCCUGUCAUGUGGGAGCAAAUUAAGAAGAUUGUAUCACAAGCGGAAGCGACGGCUAACGCUGUGGCAGCAGCCGCGGUAAUACGGAGGGCUCAAGCGUUGUUCGGAAUCAGUGGGCGUAAAGUGUGCGUAGGCUGUUGCGUAAGUCGUGUGUGAAAGGCGCGGGCCCAACCCGCGGACGGCACAUGAAACUGUGAGGCUAGAGUGAAGGAGGGGGAAGCGGAAUUCUCGGUGUAGCAGUGAAAUGCGUAGAUAUCGGGAGGAACACUCGUGGCGAAGGCGGGUUCCUGGACAUUAACUGACGCUGAGGCACGAAGGCCAGGGGAGCGAAAGGGAUUAGAUACCCGUGUAGUC
rnacentral:rRNA from 1 species